rnacentral:rRNA from 1 species
GUGGGUAGUUUGACUGGGGCGGUCUCCUCCUAAAGAGUAACGGAGGAGCACGAAGGUUGGCUAAUCCUGGUCGGACAUCAGGAGGUUAGUGCAAUGGCAUAAGCCAGCUUGACUGCGAGCGUGACGGCGCGAGCAGGUGCGAAAGCAGGUCAUAGUGAUCCGGUGGUUCUGAAUGGAAGGGCCAUCGCUCAACGGAUAAAAGGUACUCCGGGGAUAACAGGCUGAUACCGCCCAAGAGUUCAUAUCGACGGCGGUGUUUGGCACCUCGAUGUCGGCUCAUCACAUCCUGGGGCUGAAGUAGGUCCCAAGGGUAUGGCUGUUCGCCAUUUAAAGUGGUACGCGAGCUGGGUUUAGAACGUCGUGAGACAGUUCGGUCCCUAUCUGCCGUGGGCGCUGGAGAACUGAGGGGGGCUGCUCCUAGUACGAGAGGACCGGAGUGGACGCAUCACUGGUGUUCGGGUUGUCAUGCCAAUGGCACUGCCCGGUAGCUAAAUGCGGAAGAGAUAAGUGCUGAAAGCAUCUAAGCACGAAACUUGCCCCGAGAUGAGUUCUCCCUGAGACUUUAGGUCUCCUGAAGGAACGUUGAAGACGACGACGUUGAUAGGCCGGGUGUGUAAGCGCAGCGAUGCGUUGAGCUAACCGGUACUAAUGAACCGUGAGGCUUAACCUUAC